rfam:Pichia pastoris GS115 chromosome 1, complete sequence
GGCACUAUGGCCGAGUGGUUAAGGCGAAAGACUCGAAAUCUUUUGGGCUCUGCCCGCGCAAGUUCAAAUCCUGCUGGUGUCG